rnacentral:rRNA from 1 species
UACGGGGGGGCAAGCGUUGUUCGGAAUUACUGGGCGUAAAGGGCUCGUAGGCGGCCAACUAAGUCCGACGUGAAAUCCCAAGGCUUAACCUUGGAACUGCGUCGGAUACUGGAUGGCUUGAAUUCGGGAGAGGGAUGCAGAAUUCCAGGUGUAGCGGUGAAAUGCGUAGAUAUCUGGAGGAAUACCGGUGGCGAAGGCGGCAUCCUGGACCGACAUUGACGCUGAGGAGCGAAAGCGUGGGGAGCAAACAGGG